rnacentral:rRNA from 1 species
CAAGUCGAGCGGCAGCGCGGGGCAACCUGGCGGCGAGCGGCGAACGGGUGAGUAAUGCAUCGGAACAUGUCCAUUCGUGGGGGAUAGCCCGGCGAAAGCCGGAUUAAUACCGCAUACGCCCGAGAGGGGAAAGUGGGGGACCGCAAGGCCUCACGCGAUUGGGUUGGCCGAUGUCCGAUUAGCUAGUUGGCGGGGUAAGAGCCCACCAAGGCGAUGAUCGGUAGCUGGUCUGAGAGGAUGAUCAGCCACACUGGGACUGAGACACGGCCCAGACUCCUACGAGAGGCAGCAGUGGGGAAUUUUGGACAAUGGGGGCAACCCUGAUCCAGCCAUUCCGCGUGAGUGAAGAAGGCCUUCGGGUUGUAAAGCUCUUUUGUCCGGAACGAAAUGGGUAGCGUGAAUAUCGCUGCCUUCUGACGGUACCGGAAGAAUAAGCACCGGCUAACUACGUGCCAGCAGCCGCGGUAAUACGUAGGGUGCGAGCGUUAAUCGGAAUUACUGGGCGUAAAGCGUGCGCAGGCGGUUUUGUAAGCCAGAUGUGAAAUCCCCGGGCUUAACCUGGGAAUGGCAUUUGGGACUGCAAGGCUUGAGUGCGGCAGAGGAGACUGGAAUUCCUGGUGUAGCAGUGAAAUGCGUAGAUAUCAGGAGGAACACCGAUGGCGAAGGCAGGUCUCUGGGCUGACACUGACGCUCAUGCACGAAAGCGUGGGGAGCAAACAGGAUUAGAUACCCUGGUAGUCCACGCCCUAAACGAUGUCGACUGGUUGUUGGGGGGUUUGACACUCUCAGUAACGAAGCUAACGCGUGAAGUCGACCGCCUGGGGA